AUCUUCCAGAUUGCUGACUUUUCAAACAAGAUAAAAGCCACAUGUCCAUACGUCCACACUUGAAUCUGUCAACCAAACUGAUCCAAUCCACAUGUAGAUUAAGAGACUAAUAUGUGGCAUAGGCUAAAGCCUAUCUUCCAUAUGGCUGACUUUUCAAACAAAAUAAAAGCCACACGUCCACACUUGAAUCUGUCAACCAAACUGAUCAAAUCCACACGUAGAAUGAGAGGUUGAUUCAUGGCAUAGGCUAAAGCCUAUCUUCUAGAUGGCUAACUUUUCAAACAAGAUAAAACCCACACGUCCACACGUCCACACUUGAAUCUGCCAACCAAACUAAUCCAAUCCACACGUCCACACGCCACAUGUCACAUCCCCGCCUGAGCUCAACUCCGCCGUAGCACGAUAUUGUCCACUUUGGGCCCCGACCACGCCCUCACGAUUUUAUUUAUUGGAACUCACGCGAGAACUUCCCAGUGGGUCACCCAUCUUGGAAUUGCUCUUGCAACAUUCUCGCUUAACUUCUGAGUUCCUACGGAACCCGAAGCUAAUGAGCGAUUGGCUUUGAUACCAAAUUGUCAAAUCUUGGCCCGAGCUCCACCACACCCCGAGCUCGACUCUACUCUAGCACGAUAUUGUCUGCUUUGGAUCCCGAGUCGGCAACUGUAUAGUGGGUUCACGGGGAUUGUUGGAGAGCUUGUGAGUGGUAGAAGGUAUUGCAGAGGGCGGGCGAGGAUAAGAGGGCUGCUAUGGAAGAACUGGAUACGGAUGGUGUUAUGGAAGAAGUAGGGCAGACCUUGGGAGAAGCUGCAGCUCACUGAUAGAGAGGAGGGAGUAGUGAACGAUAGAAAGGAUGUAGAUAUGGCUUUGAUCGGCUUUCACUAUAUGUUAUUGGCAGAGGUUGACGGUGCGAGCAGUGCAUGGGGAGGCUUUCAUCGAUAGAUUCACGUCAUUGUGGCGUGGGAAGGUGUCUCGAUUAGGGACAUUAGUGAUGGACGGUUUGAAAUUUUAUGGGAGUAAAUGAUUAGGGAAAUGUGGGUUAACUUGGUUGUGAGUGAAGGAAGAGAAAAAAAAACAUUGCAAAAAUUUAUUGUGCGAAAUUAUCUUAACACUCAUGAUUUUUCAUUUUUGGUAUUUUUAUUGAGUUGUGCAUAGAGGAGCUACACUGUCUUUUCAUUCUUUUCUUUUUUUUGACAAAAAUGUUCUAUUAAAUAGUAGAGAUAUAAUCUUUUGAAAUUAGGAUUACAAUAGUUUGAAUCAUGUUUUCAGUAAUUAACAUGAGUUCAAGGCACGUUAAUGGUUUAACCACGAGCUGGUGAUCCACUGGUAAAUGACGGAUUGCAAGACUUCCUUCAAACUAAAAACUGGAGGUCUUAGGUUCGAAACUCGCUGCUGAUGUGGAAACCAGACUUGUAGGGAGGCUGAAUUGCCUCUGUGAUUCUUCCCGGCCCCCAGAAAUAGUGGAUUACAGUGGCCACCAAUUGUUUUUUUUUUUUUUUUUUUUUGUUUCUAAGAAAAAAAAGGCACAUUAAUGGUUUAGAGACAUUGUUUGCUAACGAUUUUGUCUUUUAAUUUCUAACCUUUUUUUUUUUUUGGAGAUAUGACAAAAGUAUAUAGAGAAAUGAGGGUUGAAGAAAGGUGAUAGGGGAGAGGAAGAAAUAAUUAAGAAAGGAAUGAAAAUAAAAUCUUGAAUGUUAAAACAAUUUUAAAUGUUUUGAAUUUUUUUUAGUUGUGAAGUAAAAUCUAAAAGCGAGCGAUAACAAUGAACCCAUAAAACAACAAUUACAAAAUUUUCCCACUAAAGAUAGAUGCUUCAAGCUUGGUUCUCUCCUGUUUUUCUUAUUUGAAAUUAAGUCAAUAUAUAAGAUCGUUAUGUUGGCAAUGGUAUGUCGAUCAAGUCACUUGAUUAUCAAGUAACUCGAUAUCCAAGUUAGUUGAUACUCAAGUGACUUUGCAGUCUCGACGGUGGAAUAGAACAAGUAGAGGAGAGAAAAAGGAUCUGGUUUGAACGUAUGCAGGUUACAAUUGUCAAUGUCGAAAUUUAGAUGGAGUCUGACUGGGUAAUACAAGCUUGAGUGACGAUAUUGUCCCAGCGAUGGUAUCGCUUCUUAGAGGAAUUUCUAAUUUGAAUACAUUGCACUAAUAUUAUUCCAAUUAGACCCACACAAUAUAGCCGCUAGACCGAAACAGAGAGCCCAAAACUAUAACACAAAGAAGUAGGCCCAAUCGAAAGAUAUACUCUCAGCUUUGUAACUUGCUGUGCUACAAUGAAGAUCCUGCGUAUUUGUUUUUUGGUUUUUAGUCAAAAUAGUUUUUGAGAUAGACAUAACUCCUCAUUUUGAUAUUUAAGGUUUAAAAUUAAUAGCAAUGAUCAUGAGUUUGUCGACUGUCAAUUAUUUUGGUCAUUUCGUGAAAAAUCUCUAUUAAAUAAGGACUAAUAUGACAAAAUAUCUUCUAUUUUCGUCAAAUAUUUUGGGCCAUUGUUUAUUAAAUUGAGAGUAUUUUUAUAAUUUCGAUCCUUAUUUAACAAGGAUUUUUAUGGAAUGGCCAAGAUGAUUGACAAUAGACAAACUCAGGAAUUACUUCGAUCUAUUUCAAAUCUCUGGGACCAAGGUGACGAGUUAUACCAAUUUCAGAGCCAUUUUGCCUAAAAAGCCAAAUUGCAAGCUUUCUUUAGAGAAGGAUCAAUGCCAUUGCCACUGGGUAGUGUCAUCCACACCCAUUUAUACUUCUCACACUCCUCUUAAUUUUUGACCGUCGGAUUGAAUAAAUUGAAGAAAAUCAAUGACUAAAAAUUUAAAAAGGAUGUUGGAAGUAAAAAUGGAUGGGUGAAUAGUCCUAUAUUUCCCAUUAGAUCGGGUACGCAAAUUACGAGCUUGAACGAGGACCUAGUCUCGUCAAUGUAACCUCUUCGGAGAUGAAUGACUAUUUUGAAUACUUUGUGCAUAACAUCUGAUCCACCAAGUACCAAAAGACAGACUGGUAGAUCUUCCUUAAACGGUUCCGAAGCGGAAGAAAAUGAUAUUACUGUACGUAUGUUGCGCCUCUAUCACUCUCUCUUGCACACACUCAUGAAGCACAUUUUACGAUUUUCGAAAUUUCUUGCAUCAAUCAGGAGUUGAAUAAACCAUUUCUAACUUCUCCUCAUCGUAUCUGAAAAAAAUAAAAAAAUAAAUAAAGAAUUCAAUUGAUUUCAUUGUUUCCUUUCUAGGCCUCCGCAUUUGAUAUCGGAUACUUGAAAUCCCAGAAACUUGCUUUUCUUCAUCAACUCAAGGAGGCAACUACAGAGCUUUCCAAGGGGGAAAAUGAAAUAGAGUUGGCGAAGUAUAUACUCGAGCACGCUCAGAAUUUGAAGAAAAUGGAUACUUCAUUCACCACAGCAAUCCAAUGUGGGAAAGACCAUUAGCAGAAGCAAGAUAAUCUCCAGUACUGCCACAGCUGUCUUUCACGAAAAGCAAAAGGGACGGUAGGAAACCAUGUCGAGUACGAAUAUUAUAAUCUCCAUCCUUCAUCUUCUCAAAAAAAAAACAAACAACUUGAAGUUUGAAUUCCAAUCAAAUAAAGAUGAGCAAGAGUACGAAUAUUAUAGCAUUUUACGCACUUGAUAGAGAAGAUUUGGCAAUCGGAAUACGAUAACAUGUGCAUCUAUGUCAGGCAUUUUGUAUAUGUCUAGUGAAUUAAUAUAACUCCAAAAACAUGAUUUCUUGCAUAAUUAAUUAUACUAAGCCAGCAGGCAAGUCUGCUACCAAAACAGGGAUAAAAACCAAGAGUCUAGCAAAGAAAACCAACAUGUCAAAACAAUGCACCAACAAGAAGUAAAACAAGUAAACCAGUAGCAAAUUGAUUUCACAAUGGAAGUAGGUAUUUUCAACUUCGGUAUGCUAUAAUUAUAUGUCAUUACUUACUUCAUCCUGUAAAUUCCCGAAGUUCAUCUUUUGAUUGUAAUCUCCUUCUUCUGGCCAGUGGACAUGACCUCAGCAGAAACAUUCAGGAUACCAUUUGCAUCAAUUGAAAAAUAAACAUCUACUUUAGCAACACCCUUAGGAGCUGGAGGAAUGUCAUCGAUGACAAAGCCACCCAAAUAAUUAUUAUCUUUGGUUAGCUCAUUCUCACCCUCGUAAACUCCACAGCGGACAGAACUUUGGUUGUCGUGACCAGUUACAAAAGUAUGGUUCUUCUUGGUGGGAAUCUUGGUGUUUCUAGGAAUCAUGACAUGCAUGAGGUCAUUGAGCUGUCCUUCUUCACGAUAUUCUGUCCCAAGUGACAUAGGAAUAACAUCGAAGAGAGUGAAGUCUUGAAGCUUCAAACUUUGAUUACCAUUCAAGACAGCAGCUUGAACAGCAGCACCAUAUGCCACAGCCUCAUCCGGAUUAAUGCCGUUGGACAGCUCCUUGCCGAUGAACACGUUCUGUAAUAGCUCCUGCACCUUGGGAAUUCUAGAGGAGCCACCAACAAGAACAACAUCAUCGACAUUGCUUGUGUCCAUUUUGGCAUCCUUCAAACAUUUAUCCACAGGCUCCAUGCACUUGUUGAAGAAAUCCAUGUUUAGUUGUUCAAAUUUUGCACAGGUAAAAGUUGUGUAAAAAUCAACACCACGAUACAAACAGUCAAUUUCAAUAUCUGUCACGGACGUAAACGAAAGUCUCCUCUUCGCCUUCUCACAUUCAUUUUUUAACCUCCUAAGAGCUCUAGGGUUUCCACUGACGUCCAAACUAUGCUUCUUCUUAAACUUCUCAACACAGUAAUUCACCAUAUUGUUAUCAAAGUCUUCACCACCAAGGUGAGUAUUUCCAGCUGUCGCCUUCACUUCAAAGUCACCAGAACUUAUGGUAAGCAGUGACACAUCUAAAGUACCACCACCCAAGUCAAAUAUCAUAACAUUUCUCUUGCUAUACCAACCAGCCUUAUUGUCAAUUCCAUAAGCAAUGGCGGCUGCAGUUGGUUCGUUGAUGAUUCGCAUCACCUCUAAGCCAGCAGUCACACCAGCACAUUUUGUAGCCUGACGUUGUGAGUCAGUAAAGUAAGCAGGGACAGUAAUAACUGCUUUCUUCACACUUGAGCCGAGGUAGGCCUCAGCAAUCUCCCGCAUCUUUGUGAGAACCAUAGAUGAGAUUUCUUCAGCAGCAAACUGUUUCUCUUGACCCUUGUGGGUAACCACAAUCAUGGGCUUGUGAUCAGGACCUUCAGUGACCUUGAAUGGCCAGAGCUUCAAAUCAUUUUGAACAGAAGCGUCACCAAAUCUCCUUCCAAUUAAUCGCUUUGCAUCUGUAAAAUGAAUGCCAACUUAGAAACUCAAUCAAAUAAAGUGGAAGGAUUGCAAACAAUGGUGUAACAUAAACCAAAAAUUUCAGUUAGCUAUAUCUCUAUUUAUUUGUAAAUGUCAAGUAAUAACAUGAAAAAUGUUUCACUUUUUCCAAGUUUCUCAUUCAGCCUGACUGGAUUGUAACUAAAAAGAUGCUGUUAUCAAAGUUAUAUAAUGUCAUUCAGUACCUAAAUCAUUUAAUUAUGUCUUAGAUAACUACCCUCAUUAAAAUGCAAAAACUAGUUAAUUUGGGUACUGUAAGUCUGUAACUACCCAAGAAAUACCCAUAGGAUAUAUUGGGGUGAGGGACUUCCAAAACCCACAAUAUUGAUGUCAAAUUAGUAAUGGAUCGAUCACUAAACAUUAGGAAGGAUUAGAAAUGCAUCGCGUAAGCAUUACAGAGGUUUGCAAGAGGGAUUUAUAAACACCUUGCAAGCAAGGGUUGACAAAUCUCUCUCACAUUCUAAUGCUCAUAUGGUGCUUUUUUAAUCCCUCUUGUCUAAUAGUUUGAGAUCCAUUCCUUGCUAACUUAUCCUCAGACCCUCGAGACUUGAAAAUUCCCUCACCCAACCAUAGCAUUAAGCACCCAUUAGCAGGAUCACAAAGCUCAGGUUAAGAAAAGUCAAUACUUAGCUAAUGAAAAAAACGAUAAAAAGGUCGUACCCAGUGCACAAGGCUCCCGCUUUACGCAGGGUCUGGGAGAGGUGAAUGUCGGCUAGCCUUACCCCCAUUUAUGGAGAGGCUGCUCCCAAGUCUUGAACCCGAGACCUACCGCUCAUGGGCAAAGGCACUUGCCAUCGCACCAAGUGCGACCUCUAGCUAAUGAAAAAGACGAUGAUUAAAAAAAAAAAACACAAAAGAGUUUGUAAGAGUGCAAACACUUGGAGCCUCGAAGGGUUUGAUAAAGAAAUUAAAGCUUUCUAUUGGUAUAUAUGUAGAUGUAAGAAGAUGAGCCUUACCAAAGAUUGAAUUUGAGGGGUUUCUAAUGACCUGGUUAUAUGCUGCAUCACCGAUUAACCUUUCAGUAUCAGUGAAAGCAACAUAAGACGGAGUUGUUCUGUUGCCCUGACCAUUCACUAUGAUUUCAAUGUGAUCAUAACGCCACACUGCUACACAUGAAUAUGUUGUCCCCAGAUCGAUUCCAAUUGCGUGGCCUUCUUUUCCACUCAUUCUCAACUCAGGAACUGGGAGAACACAAAACAAGGAGACAAAUUAUCGCAAAGUGUUAAAUGAAGAAUGGCUGGGUAAGUACAAUCCCCGGCUAUGUCUUCAAGUUGUGAAGUAAGGUUUCACAAAUAAAAGCGGCAAUGAAAUUGUAAACAAAUGAAAUAAAUAGCUUAUCAUCAAAUGACAAUAGCAUGAAAAGAGGGAGUAAAUGGAAGAAAGAACAACUCUUGGUGGGAAUGAAGCUUCCUGUCCUGUGUUUGGAAAUGCUGGGAAAUAGGGCCAUGAAAUACCGUUUUCUUCCAUUCUCAUGUUUGGUUUACAUUGUCAUGUGAACCAAAAUUUGUAAGUUUUCCAGUAAUACUCUUCCAUUAAAUGCAUUAUAUUGGUAAUUUUGGUAUCACAUGGGAAUGUGGGAGUAGUGAAGGUAAGAGACUCGGUGAAAAAAGAAACCUUGUAAGGGCUUAUAAGAGGUUGGACUACUUCCAAUAUUGCCAAUUAGUUUUGUGGUGGAACAUCAACUUUCUUCAUACUAUCAGAACAGGUUGGCCCAUAUGUGAAUUCUAAUGGCCACACCUCACCCAAUUGAUGUUGCUUAAAUGUUUGACUUGAAAAUUUUGUUGAACGUGAUGGGGGUGUGAGGAGUGAAGGUAAAAGAGUCCCACAUCGAUGAAAAGAGAAACUUUCAAGGCUUAUAAAAAGUUAGACUACUCAUGUUGCCAAUUGGUUUUAUGAUAGAACCAACUUUCUUCAUAAUUGUAUCUGGAUUAACAUGACUCUAAUCUGCGAACCAAACGUCGGUUUGAGAUACACGACCGGUCCAAUCUAUGAGCAGUAAAGACUAAAGAGAGGGUGCACGCCCCAUGGCUUUAAAUAAAAUUACACUAGGUUCAUGGGAUUAGUUUGAUUUUUAAAGGUAUUCAUCAAUUUAUACAGCCUAUAAGCAAAUAGGUAUACAAAUCACCGACGGUUGAUCUUCUCUACUGUUUCUAAAGCAUCCCAUUUCAAAUAAGCAGCGGUUAACUGAAGCAACGCAUUUAAACGAUGAAAUCAAAAUAAGCAGGAGUUCCUGCUAAUUAUUCAUCAGCCAAGCAAGUUCUCAAAAGAAUUAACGAGAGAGGGAUUCAAAAGGCCUUACCUUUAGUCGUCUUAAAACAAGAAGAACAAAAAAAAAGUUGUUAGUUUCUUACCUAUGAUUUCAAUAGAUUGCUGAAACAAGCAAAGGUCAUGAAUCCGAGAACCACCGCGAGCAAAACGUGAGAACUGGAAUUAUUUUCUCCCGCUUUAAAGUUUGGCGCCCUGAAGAGUAAACGAAACGAAAAUCCCCCGGCCACUCUACUAAUAAUGAUUUAUAUAUAGAACCGAUAUUUUUCAUCAUAUUCGAUGUUUAACUCAUGUUCGACUUCUAAGCCCAUCUCCAACCGAUGGCUGGCCAGAGGGUUCCUUUUAGCCUUCUGGCACUUCAAGAUUCUUCAAGAUAUUAAUAUUUUAAUGAACAGUACAGGGUCAUAUUUGCCUCCGUCUCCAACCGAGGGCCAGAGGGCCAGAGGGCUCGUUUUAGCCCUGUAAAAAAAAAACCGUCUCCAACCGAGGGCCAAACAUAAUUUAUUAUUUAAAAACUACAACUUAAUUUUAUUUAAAAAUCAUGUUGGUUAGUGUUGUAUAAUUUUUAUGUCGGUUAAUGUUAUUUAAUGUUGUUUCAUAUUGUUUAAUGUUGUUUCAUGUUACUUAAUUUAAUUUAAUGUUGUAUAAUGGCUUAGGAAGUUAUAGGAAAAAAUUAGAAUUUAAAAAAAAUAUGAAACAAAUUUUGUGAAAUAGAAGUUAUAGGAAAAAAUGGAAUUUAAAAAAAAAAUAUGAAACAAAUUUUGUAAAAUAGAAGUUAUAUGAAAAAAAUAUGAACCAAAUUUUGUAAAAUAUAAGUUAUAGGAAAAAAAUAGAAUUAAAAAAAAAUUGAAACAAAUUUUGUAAAAUAGAAGUUAUAGGAAGUUAUAGAAAAAAAAAAGAAAAAAAAAAGGUUUAAAUUCAUAAAAAAAAAAGGUUUAAAUUCAUUAAAAAAAAAGGUUUAAAUUCAUAAAAAAAAAAAAGGUUUGAAUUCAAAAUGUUAUUUUGUAAAAUAGAAGUUAUAGGAAGUUAUAGAAAAAAAAGGUUUAAAUUCAUAAUAAAAAAAAAAAAAAGGUUUGAAUUCAAAAUGUUAUUUCUGUCGAGCCCUCCAGCCCUCCAGCCCUCUCCGAUCCCGUGGGGCCCUCCCAGAUUCCCGAGCCCUCUGGCCUAGCCCUCGGUUGGAGACGGUUUUAGGGCUAUUUUCGGCCCUCUGGCCCUCUGGACCCUUCGGUUGGAGAUGGCCUAAUAACAAAAGUGACUUGAGCUUCCUCGUUAAGGAAUAAAAAGGAUUUAGUAAAAGAGAUAAGCAAUAAAAUAUUUUUAUUACCUUUAAAGUUUAAAGUUUCCUUUUUAAGUUUCACUUAUUUUUAGUUACGUCUUUUAAAACUGCAUUUGAUUAUAUUUUACCCCUUAUAACUUAAAGUUAUUAUUUUACUUUUUGAAAUUCAAAAUUCGUUCAACUUUGAUUUGUGGACUUUCUUUUCUCUUUUGUACUAAAACUUAUAGGUUGCUUCUUGAAAGAUAUAUAGCACCCAACACUUAAUAAAACUAUGCCACGUGUGCAAUAAAUAAUCUAAAUAUCCAUUUUGCGCUAAUAUUCAAUAAUAAGAUAAUAUUAAACUUAUAAGAAAUUGAAGAGCUUGAAAAUAAAUAAAUAAAUUGAUUAGUUGGCGCACCCAAUUCAAAUCCACAUAAGAAACUAGCAUAUCUAAGGCAAUGUGAAACAAAUUUUGAGUUUUACAGAGGCGGCUUUCAAGUAUCAUGGGGCAAAAUAGGAUCGAAUCAAGUUCCAAGGGGCAAAGUGGAGCGAACUAUGAGUUUCAGGGGAUAGAGUAACGACUUUUGAGUUAUAUGGAGCAAAUUGAGAUUAAAAUUGAGUUCUGGGAAACGUAGCUGAAAAUAAGCGUUAAAGUUUUAACUCAUUAUAUAUGGCUAUACCCAUUUGGUUUUGUUUUGUCCCCGAAAUUGAAAAUUCAUAAACGUGACCUCUAAGUUUGUCCACUUAAAUUAUUUUGGUUAUUCUGUAAAAAAUCUAUCAACAUUAUUGUUAACAAUUUUUUAAAGGAUUAUUAUUAUGGGGUGUGCUAUCCACACAUCUCUUUUUACUUCUCCCACACCCCUUGUUAAUUUAUGUCAUUUGAUCUUCUUCAAUUCAUCCGAUCUGAUGACCGAAAAUUAAAAGAGUGUGAAAGAAGUAAAAAGGGAUGUAUGGAUAUCACAUUUCUAUUAUUAUUAUUAUUAUUAUUUUGUGAAAACCAACCCCCUUCUUGUUUUUGACAUUUUUCUCUCAUCUCUCUCGUCUUUUCGACCUUAAUCCUUAUCUCUCAUCAAUUUGUCCUUGUCAGCAUAUAGAGAAAAGGGAAAGGAGUGAUUAGGAUUUCAUAAUUUGGGGUUUGGCAUUGAAUAAGGGUAGAGAAGAUAUCACCGAGGGAGUACGGUCCUCUGGUAAUGGUGUUUCUUCGAGGUCCAACAAAAAAAAAAACGUGUGGUCAUGUUGCAUUGUACCUUUUUGCAACUUUUGCAACUUUUUUCUUCCUUUUGUAAGCUUUAUGAUUGAGUGCUUUCCUUUCACAUUUUAAAAGUUUGAUUUCUGUGUAAGUUGUGCUUAUUUUUUCCUAACCCAUAAUAUUUUCAUAGUUGGAAAGGAACCACACCGACAAUAAACUUUGUUGUAUUAUAUAUUAGGGCUUAAUAUUUGGGUCUCACUAUUUAACCUAUGAUAUGAUAUAUGUAAGAGGGGAGAAAAAUCCUUAUUCUAUAAAAGUGGCAUUUCACCCCCACUUUAGGGAUAUAGAAAAGAUGGCAAACCAUAGCAUCUCUAGCAAUAACAAUGUAGCUCUCAUUUUAUAUGGUGAACCGGAUCGACACCAAUGUGAACGUAAUCUCAACUUGGGGUGAACCACGAUAAAUCGUUUUGUUCUUGGGCGUAUGUAUGAUUCACGGUCGGAUUAACGUUGAUCCAAAAUCAACCCGAUUUUGUGCAUCAACAAAUUUUAUAGAUUUGUGUAUACAAAUAUUGGUAUUUAAAUGGAAUUUUGGCAUUGGAUAAGGGUUUUUGGCAUUGACUUAGGAUUUUGGCGUUGAAUAAGGGUUUCUUGCUCUACCGAUGCAUCCUAAUGUGAUAGUAGACAUGAAAAUUUGGCAUUGAAUCGAACACUUCUUUGGAUGCUCAAGUAAUAAGUCUUCAUUUACUUGGAAUAUUUGUCACUGUUAAGAUUAACAUGGUUUCUUUAAGUUCCCUGGUAACAGUUUAUCAUACAUCCAAUCUACCGCAAUAAUUGAAGACCAGAGAGUAUGAUCAUGUUCAAAAAUCUUAUUUCAGCAUUUUCUUUUAGAUUUAUUAGUUUAGCAUUUGAAAGUUGAAAAAUGGCAUGUGAUCUCUAAGAACUAAUGAAUUUGGUAAUUGGUUUGGCAGCUGACCCGGACAAAUUCAAUUUCAAAAUCCACCAUGGGGUUAGAUCAUUCAAGGGAAGUCAUGAAAAAUAGAUUGGAGGUGAAGUUAUUUUCUUAGAUUGGGUUUCAUGAAAAAUACAUCAGAAAGGGCAGAGGCAUGGGAAGAGGCAGAGGUAGGGGAAUAGUAUAUAUCUAGCUCGCAGCCUACUGCACUCCGCUCCAUAAGUUCAAAGAGUAAUGCUAGAAAGACUAUGUUUGGAGACAAAAUUUGCAACUAAAUGAUGUAUCACCAAUAGAAAUGAGUACGUUUAUCAACGUUUAAGUAAUAAAUCAAUCAUUAAUUUUUAUGUCAUUUAGUUUUCAAAACUUGAUACAAUUCACUUGCCCUUUACUUUUUGUUUUAGCUUUUUGUUUAAGUAAUAAAUCAAUCAUUAAUUUUUAUGUCAUUUAGUUUCCAACAUUCCCUUCUAAGCUAGUAGUUGGUUUAACUCUAAGCUUCUCUCUAAGUGUGCAGAAUCGAUCUUUGGGAAGUGCCUUGGUGAAAAAUAUCAGCAAGCUGAUCCUCUGAUUUACAAUAGAUUAGCUUGAUGAUGUUUGACUGCAAUGUUUCUCGAAUGUUAUGAUAUCUUCUUCCAAUGUGCUUUGUUCUUUGAUGGAACACAUGAUUUCUUGUCAGAGCAAUGGCAUAUGUAUUAUCGUAGUAGAGAUGAGUAGCUUCAGUUUAUUCUUCACCAAAAUCUUGAAGUACAAACCUCAACCACACAACUUGUGUGGUUGGUUUUGUAGCACUCAUGUACUCAACUUCAGCUGUUGACAAUGCAACAUUGUGUUGAUUAACUGAGGCUCAAGAGAAAGCCCCACUUCCAAAUGAGAAAGCAUAACCAUAUGUGCUUUCCAUCAGUUUCAUCUCCACUCCAAUCACUGUCACAAUAGCAUAUGAGAAUUGAUUCAUUGCCCUUCUCAUACUCAAUUCCAUAGUCUAGUGUGCCUUGUAUAUAUCUGAGAACUCUCUUAGCUGCUCCCAAGUGCUUCUUUGAUGGUCCAUGCAUAAAUUUAGCAAGUAAUUUAAGUUAAACUUAAUUUAGUUUGGGGUCUUAAUAUGAUAAUAAUUUAAGUUAAACUUAAGGAGAUUUUGCUGAUUUUGAAGUUUUGAACCUUAAAAGCAUGAACGAAACUAACUUGUGCCAACUCGUCCUCGUGAGGAGGGUUUAGUUCGAGAAAGUCGGAGCAAAUAGUCUGGGAGUUUUUGCGUACGUAAACCCUAGGGGAGCGACGGCGGCUGUAUAGUGGGUUCACGGGGAUUGUUGGAGAGCUUUGUUGAGAAUCAAUGUCAAAGUUAGGCAAUGUUAGGCAAUGUUAGUCAAUGUCAAAGUUAGGCAAUGUUAGGCAAUGUUAGGUAUGGUUGUGUGAAAAAAAUAAUUAGGUGCAAUUAAUGUGUUUUGUGUGGUAGUAAAUAAUCUUAGUUUAAUUAAGUAGCUUUCAUUUGGUUUGCUAUAAAUACCCAAGUCCCCAAGCCUUGUAAAUCAUCCAAAGGAAAAACAAA
rnacentral:lncRNA from 1 species